GUUGUGCUCAAGUUGGAUUUCAAAAAAGCAUUUGACUCUGUCUCCUGGGCUGCUCUGGACCGCGUACUGGAGGCGGAAGGCUUCUCAAGCAGGUGGCGUACGUGGGUACGUGACCUGAACACCUCCAGCCACUCUGCUGUUGUACUCAAUGGGGUCCCGGGAAAAUGGUUUGAGUGCAAAAAAGGCCUGCGCCAAGGGGACCCCAUGUCCCCGUACCUCUUCAUUCUGGUUGCGGACAUCCUGCAACACCUUGUUGCGGCGAUCGGAGCAAAGGGAGGGCUCCAACAUCCUCUUGAUCUGUCUCUCCCGUGUCCGGUUCUCCAAUAUGUCGACGACACUCUGAUUUUGCUCAAAGCGGAGCCAGCCCAAAUUUCUAAGUUGAAGAGUGUGCUUGCUGUUUUUACUGCCAACACUGUUCUCACCCUUAACUACGAUUAA
rnacentral:rRNA from 1 species